rfam:Candidatus Staskawiczbacteria bacterium RIFOXYA12_FTLL_37_10 rifixya3_full_scaffold_2226, whole genome shotgun sequence.
GCUCCUAUCGUCUAGUGGCCCAGGACGCGUCCCUCUCACGGACGAAACACCGGUUCGACUCCGGUUAGGAGCA